AACCUUCUGGUCUUGGUGGGUGGUAGUAGUAGCCCCAAGUUCUCAGAGAUCUCAGUGCUGAUCUGGGACGAUGCCCGGGAGGGCAAGGACUCCAAAGAGAAGCUGGUGCUGGAGUUCACCUUCACUAAGCCAGUGCUUUCUGUGCUCAUGCGCCAUGACAAGAUCGUGAUGGUGCUGAAGAACCGCAUCUGUGUGUACUCCUUCCCAGACAAUCCCCGAAAGCUGUUUGAGUUUGAUACCUGGGACAACCCCAAGGGGCUCUGUGACCUCUGCCCCAGCCUGGAGAAGCAACUGUUAGUGUUCCUGGGACACAAGUGUGGGAGUCUGCAACUUGUGGACCUGGCGAGCACAAUGCCUGGCACCUCGUCUGCUCCAUUCACCAUCAAUGCACACCAGAGUGACAUAGCCUGUGUGUCUCUAAACCAGCCAGGGACUGUAGUGGCCUCAGCCUCCCAGAAGGGUACCCUUAUUCACCUCUUUGACACACCAUCCAAGGAGAAACUGGUAGAGCUGCGCCGAGGCACUGACCCUGCCACCGUCUACUGCAUUAACUUCAGCCACGACUCCUCCUUCCUCUGUACUUCCAGUGAUAAAGGCACCGUCCAUAUCUUUGCUCUCAAGGAUACCCGCCUCAACCGCCGCUCCGCACUGGCUCGCUGUGGGCAAGGGCCUAUCACUGGGCAGUACGUGGACCCUCAGUGGAGCCUGGCGAGCUUCACUGUGCCUGCUGAGCCAGCUUGCAUGUGCGUCUUCUGUCGCAAUACUUCCAAGAACGUCAAUUGUGUCAUUGCCAUCUGCGUAGAUGGGACCUUCCACAAAUAGUCUUCACUCCUGAUGGAAACUGCAACAGAGAGGCUUUUGACGCGUACCUUGACAUCUGUGAUGAUGAUGACUUUUAAGGACCCUGGGGGCUGUGCUAGGGACCUGCGGUGGCAGACUGCAGAGCUGAGCCUUGGCAGUGGGGCGUGCUUGGAAGCCACCAGCCAGCAAGCGUUAAUGGGGCCGGUGCCCACUUUCCACUCAGCAGAGCUAUGUCUAAAUAAAGAGCUCACUUCCCCCCA